CCCCUCUCAGGGUCACCCCUGGAGAGUUUCCAGUAUUCUACCAGUCUUGACUACAUGAGGGAGAGUCAAGCAGAGGCUUGUCCAUUCAAUUCCUAGCUUGGGCAGUGGCUAGCGAGUGGAAGGCCAUCUGCUACAAGU
rfam:Ornithorhynchus anatinus chromosome 2, whole genome shotgun sequence.